GUGUUUCAGGGCCAUGCGGGCGGCUGCCGAGGUGGAAUUUCUCAAAUAUUCAUAUUCCUUUCAAACACGCACGCCAGGAGUAGCAGGGUUGAAGCUGCAGAAACCGUCUCUGUUUCUGCAUAGUGAAUCACCACAUACACUUUUCUUUCUCACUCUCUCUCCGCAUCCUUGGUAUCAUCAGGCAUUUGGGGGCAAGUUUAUUUUUUGGAGCCGAAACUGGAUCCUCAAAACAUCAAGGUGUUCACAUUUUCUGCAGCACCGGAGUCAGGGCUGUUUAACCUAGUGUUAUGGCACUAAUUUGUUGUGUAACCUCAAAUCGGUAAUCUCUCUGUUUUAAAGCAUCAUUUGUGUUUCGAGGGAAAAAUCAUAAACUAUUUUGCUUUCUGAUCCUAAGGAAAAUAUACAGCAGAAUCAAAAAACAUUAUUAAGCUUAUUGCAUAUCAAGAUUUUGCUGUCGAUGUUGCUCAGAGUUGGAGGUCCUGUCGUGUUUUCUUAAGCCUUGGAUACUUUGGCAGGAGAAGGAAAACACCUCUGAAGCUAAGCUACGUUUAAUUAAGUAUCAGUGUAUGUGUGUGUGGUGAGUGGAGUAUUCCAAUGACAAGCUCAUCAAUACAGCUAAUACCAACCAGAUGGAAUCGUUAUAUGUUCAGUUACACAGCUUGAAACUCCAGUGUGGGUGAAGCAAUGUGGAUAUGCUACCAGCCACUCAAAAAUCAAGCCUCCACCUCCGUGAAAUAUAUGCUGAUUAUACCAUGAGUUUGAUCUGUGGUUUGAGUGGGGCCUCAGUUUUUGCCUUGAAGAAUAAUCCCAUUGAUCUGAAUGCUGGAAGAAGACCAAGAAAGGGAUGAAAUGAAUGCAAUCAAGAUGAGGCAAAAUUGAGACCGGAAAAAAUAAUAAAGGACUUGACAAGAAAUUGGUGAAGAAGGGCUGUAGAAUCUGGAGUGUCUUAGCGAGAGAGUAUGUAGGACAGGCAACUGAGACAUCUUGGUCAGGAAGCCAGUGGAAGAAGGAGACCAGUUGAGCAAGGAGAUUAGAGGGGCUGACCAAUGAUUCUGGUAUUGGGAAGGAAUCAAAUGGUUGAGCAAGACCACACUGGAUGUGCGUUGCAAAACAGAAGGGUGACACUGAGCUAGUGAGGUAAACAGAAAGGAGGGAUUUAGAAUUGACUGACUGGAGAGGAAAAAGGUUGAAAAAAGGUACUUAAAUCUGAUGAGCUAUGAUAUGGAACUGUCUAGACCUAGGAACCUGUGGUACCUGAGCUAGCAAUUUAUGGUGGAGGAGAUGUGGGUCCCUUCCAGGACCCAGGGAUAUCCUGUGAGUCUAUGAGCGUAGGUGAAACCCUUGACAGAAAUUUGCAUUUUCUCAUUUUAAGGACAGCAUGAGAUAUCAGAGAUACAUUUACAGAAGCAUUCUGUGCUACCAAGUAGUUGCAGUUAAGUGGAGCUUGCUAUAAACAUAGUAAUUCUUAAAGUACUUAGCAUUUAAUAACAUUUUUAAAUUUUGCAUAGUAUUUGGAUGGUGUUCAUUAAUGUCUAGAGCUAGAUACUGAUUACAAGUGAAUUCAAUAUUACAAAUGAAUACUAAAUAACUGUCUGUUCACCAAAUGAAGCAGCAAUAACAGGCAAAUAUGGAUAACCAAUGAUUUGUCAAGUGACAGGAAAAUAGAGAAUUCAAUGGAACUGUACAGAAAGUACAAAAAUGAUGGAUUUUUGAAUUUGAUUGAGGAGACCAAGAGAGACUUCAGUGUUGGUUAAAGACCAUAAAAUUGUGAAAAAUGGGACUGGAAGGUACCUUUAGGACCAUCCGGAUUGACUUCAGCAAAGAUGGUAUAGAAAGAGAGGAAUGAAAAAGGCCAGGGAAAUAAAGUUAUUAACAUGGAAACCCUCUUAGUUGAAUGGGACAGGCAGGAAGAAAUAUGUUCUUAAUAUAUUGUGGAACAGGUAAUAAAUGUGUAAUGUAGUGAGGAAAAAUCAGAAAUGUGAAACAAUUAUUCUUUUCUUAAAUAAGUACGGGAUCAAAAACAGUAGAUGCAGAAAGUGGAUCCACAAGGAAUGUGAAGAAAAUAGUAAACUGUUAAAUAUAAAGUUCCUCUCCGUGAAGACACGUA